rnacentral:rRNA from 1 species
AUUGAACGCUGGCGGCAUGCCUUACACAUGCAAGUCGAACGGCAGCACGGGAGCAAUCCUGGUGGCGAGUGGCGUACGGGUGAGUAAUAUAUCGGAACGUGCCCAGUCGUGGGGGAUAACGUAGCGAAAGCUACGCUAAUACCGCAUACGAUCUAUGGAUGAAAGCGGGGGAUCGCAAGACCUCGCGCGAUUGGAGCGGCCGAUAUCAGAUUAGGUAGUUGGUGAGGUAAAGGCUCACCAAGCCAACGAUCUGUAGCUGGUCUGAGAGGACGACCAGCCACACUGGAACUGAGACACGGUCCAGACUCCUACGGGAGGCAGCAGUGGGGAAUUUUGGACAAUGGACGCAAGUCUGAUCCAGCCAUUCCGCGUGCAGGAUGAAGGCCCUCGGGUUGUAAACUGCUUUGUACGGAACGAAAAGGUUUCUAUUAAUACUAGGAGCUCAUGACGGUACCGUAAGAAUAAGCACCGGCUAACUACGUG